UUCUCCUGGAAACGGGUGGUAAUGCCGGAUGUUCCACAUGAUCGCAUGUGAUUGUGGGAAAGAUUCUAUCGGCGUGGGAUGGGGUCGCGUCCUAUCAGCUUGUUGGUGAGGUAACGGCUCACCAAGGCUUCGACGGGUAGCCGGCCUGAGAGGGCGACCGGCCACAUUGGGACUGAGAUACGGCCCAGACUCCUACGGGAGGCAGCAGUGGGGAAUAUUGCACAAUGGGCGCAAGCCUGAUGCAGCGACGCCGCGUGAGGGAUGGAGGCCUUCGGGUUGUAAACCUCUUUUGUUUGGGAGCAAGCCUUCGGGUGAGUGUACCUUUCGAAUAAGCGCCGGCUAACUACGUGCCAGCAGCCGCGGUAAUACGUAGGGCGCAAGCGUUAUCCGGAUUUAUUGGGCGUAAAGGGCUCGUAGGCGGCUCGUCGCGUCCGGUGUGAAAGUCCAUCGCUUAACGGUGGAUCUGCGCCGGGUACGGGCGGGCUGGAGUGCGGUAGGGGAGACUGGAAUUCCCGGUGUAACGGUGGAAUGUGUAGAUAUCGGGAAAGAACACCA
rnacentral:rRNA from 1 species